AGCGUACACGGUGGAUGCCUAGGCAGUCAGAGGCGAUGAAGGGCGUGCUAAUCUGCGAAAAGCGUCGGCAAGGUGAUAUGAACCGUUAUACCCGACGAUACCCGAAUGGGGAAACCCAGUGUGAUUCGUCACACUAUCAUUAACUGAAUCCAUAGGUUAAUGAGGCGAACCGGGGGAACUGAAACAUCUCAGUACCCCGAGGAAAAGAAAUCAACCGAGAUUCCCCCAGUAGCGGCGAGCGAACGGGGAGGAGCCCAGAACCUGAAUCGGCUUGUGUGUCAGUGGAAGCGUCUGGAAAGGCGCACGAUACAGGGUGACAGUCCCGUACACGAAGAUGCACAGGUCGUGAGUUCGACGAGUAGGGCGGGACACGUGGUAUCCUGUCUGAACAUGGGGGGACCAUCCUCCAAGGCUAAAUACUCCUGACUGACCGAUAGUGAACCAGUACCGUGAGGGAAAGGCGAAAAGAACCCCGGCGAGGGGAGUGAAAUAGAACCUGAAACCGUGUACGUACAAGCAGUGGGAGCACCUUUUAGGUGUGACUGCGUACCUUUUGUAUAAUGGGUCAGCGACUUAUAUUCUGUAGCAAGGUUAACCGAAUAGGGGAGCCGCAGGGAAACCGAGUCUUAACUGGGCGUCUAGUUGCAGGGUAUAGACCCGAAACCCGGUGAUCUAGCCAUGGGCAGGUUGAAGGUUGGGUAACACUAACUGGAGGACCGAACCGACUAAUGUUGAAAAAUUAGCGGAUGACUUGUGGCUGGGGGUGAAAGGCCAAUCAAACCGGGAGAUAGCUGGUUCUCCCCGAAAGCUAUUUAGGUAGCGCCUCGUGAAUUCAUCUUCGGGGGUAGAGCACUGUUUCGGCUAGGGGGCCAUCCCGGCUUACCAACCCGAUGCAAACUGCGAAUACCGAAGAAUGUUAUCACGGGAGACACACGGCGGGUGCUAACGUCCGUCGUGAAGAGGGAAACAACCCAGACCGCCAGCUAAGGUCCCAAAGUCAUGGUUAAGUGGGAAACGAUGUGGGAAGGCCCAGACAGCCAGGAUGUUGGCUUAGAAGCAGCCAUCAUUUAAAGAAAGCGUAAUAGCUCACUGGUCGAGUCGGCCUGCGCGGAAGAUGUAACGGGGCUAAAACCAUGCACCGAAGCUGCGGCAGCGACACUUAGGUGUUGUUGGGUAGGGGAGCGUUCUGUAAGCCUGUGAAGGUGGCCUGUGAGGGCUGCUGGAGGUAUCAGAAGUGCGAAUGCUGACAUAAGUAACGAUAAUGCGGGUGAAAAACCCGCACGCCGGAAGACCAAGGGUUCCUGUCCAACGUUAAUCGGGGCAGGGUGAGUCGACCCCUAAGGCGAGGCUGAAAAGCGUAGUCGAUGGGAAACAGGUUAAUAUUCCUGUACUUGGUGUUACUGCGAAGGGGGGACGGAGAAGGCUAUGUCAUCCGGGCGACGGUUGUCCCGGUUUAAGCGUGCAGGUGGGUGGACCAGGUAAAUCCGGUCUGCUGUCAACACUGAGGCGUGAUGACGAGGCACUACGGUGCUGAAGUGACAGAUGCCCGGCUUCCAGGAAAAGCCUCUAAGCAUCAGGUAACAUUGAAUCGUACCCCAAACCGACACAGGUGGUCAGGUAGAGAAUACUCAGGCGCUUGAGAGAACUCGGGUGAAGGAACUAGGCAAAAUGGUGCCGUAACUUCGGGAGAAGGCACGCUCCUGUUGGUGAAGUCCCUUGCGGAUGGAGCUGAGGGGAGUCGCAGAUACCAGCUGGCUGCAACUGUUUAAUAAAAACACAGCACUGUGCAAACACGAAAGUGGACGUAUACGGUGUGACGCCUGCCCGGUGCCGGAAGGUUAAUUGAUGGGGUUAUCCGUAAGGAGAAGCUCUUGAUCGAAGCCCCGGUAAACGGCGGCCGUAACUAUAACGGUCCUAAGGUAGCGAAAUUCCUUGUCGGGUAAGUUCCGACCUGCACGAAUGGCGUAAUGAUGGCCAGGCUGUCUCCACCCGAGACUCAGUGAAAUUGAACUCGCUGUGAAGAUGCAGUGUACCCGCGGCAAGACGGAAAGACCCCGUGAACCUUUACUAUAGCUUGACACUGAACCUUGAACCUUGAUGUGUAGGAUAGGUGGGAGGCUUUGAAGUGUGGACGCCAGUCUGCAUGGAGCCAACCUUGAAAUACCACCCUUUAAUGUUUGAUGUUCUAACCUGGGCCCGUAAUCCGGGCUGGGGACAGUGUCUGGUGGGUAGUUUGACUGGGGCGGUCUCCUCCCAAAGAGUAACGGAGGAGCACGAAGGUUAGCUAAUCCUGGUCGGACAUCAGGAGGUUAGUGCAAAGGCAUAAGCUAGCUUGACUGCGAGAGUGACGGCUCGAGCAGGUGCGAAAGCAGGUCUUAGUGAUCCGGUGGUUCUGAAUGGAAGGGCCAUCGCUCAACGGAUAAAAGGUACUCCGGGGAUAACAGGCUGAUACCGCCCAAGAGUUCAUAUCGACGGCGGUGUUUGGCACCUCGAUGUCGGCUCAUCACAUCCUGGGGCUGAAGUAGGUCCCAAGGGUAUGGCUGUUCGCCAUUUAAAGUGGUACGCGAGCUGGGUUUAGAACGUCGUGAGACAGUUCGGUCCCUAUCUGCCGUGGGCGUUGGAAGAUUGAGGGGGGUUGCUCCUAGUACGAGAGGACCGGAGUGAACGCACCGCUGGUGUUCGGGUUGUCAUGCCAAUGGCACUGCCCGGUAGCUACGUGCGGAAGAGAUAACCGCUGAAAGCAUCUAAGCGGGAAACUUGCCCCGAGAUGAGUCU
rnacentral:rRNA from 1 species